rnacentral:rRNA from 1 species
UGGGGAAUAUUGCGCAAUGGGGGGAACCCUGACGCAGCCAUGCCGCGUGAAUGAAGAAGGCCUUAGGGUUGUAAAGUUCUUUCGGUAUUGAGGAAGGUUGAUGUGUUAAUAGCACAUCAAAUUGACGUUAAAUACAGAAGAAGCACCGGCUAACUCCGUGCCAGCAGCCGCGGUAAUACGGAGGGUGCGAGCGUUAAUCGGAAUAACUGGGCGUAAAGGGCACGCAGGCGGUUAUUUAAGUGAGGUGUGAAAGCCCCGGGCUUAACCUGGGAAUUGCAUUUCAGACUGGGUAACUAGAGUACUUUAGGGAGGGGUAGAAUUCCACGUGUAGCGGUGAAAUGCGUAGAGAUGUGGAGGAAUACCGAAGGCGAAGGCAGCCCCUUGGGAAUGUACUGACGCUCAUGUGCGAAAGCGUGGGGAGCAAACAGGGUUAGAUACCCUGGUAGUCCACGCUGUAAACGCUGUCGAUUUGGGGGUUGGGGUUUAACUCUGGCGCCCGUAGCUAACGUGAUAAAUCGACCGCCUGGGGAGUACGGCCGCAAGGUUA